GACGAACGCUGGCGGCGUGCCUAAUACAUGCAAGUCGAACGAGAGCGACCGGUGCUUGCACUGGUCAAUCUAGUGGCGAACGGGUGAGUAACACGUGGGUAACCUGCCCAUCAGAGGGGGAUAACAUCCGGAAACGGAUGCUAAAACCGCAUAGGUCUUCGAGCCGCAUGGCUUGAAGAGGAAAAGAGGCGCAAGCUUCUGCUGAUGGAUGGACCCGCGGUGCAUUAGCUAGUUGGUGAGGUAACGGCUCACCAAGGCCGUGAUGCAUAGCCGACCUGAGAGGGUGAUCGGACACAUUGGGACUGAGACACGGCCCAAACUCCUACGGGAGGCAGCAGUAGGGAAUCUUCCGCAAUGGACGCAAGUCUGACGGAGCAACGCCGCGUGAGUGAAGAAGGUUUUCGGAUCGUAAAACUCUGUUGUUAGAGAAGAACAAGUGCUAGAGUAACUGUUAGCGCCUUGACGGUAUCUAACCAGAAAGCCACGGCUAACUACGUG
rnacentral:rRNA from 1 species